AUUGAACGCUGGCGGCAGGCCUAACACAUGCAAGUCGAACGAGUGGCGGACGGGUGAGUAAUGUCUGGGAAACUGCCUGAUGGAGGGGGAUAACUACUGGAAACUGUAGCUAAUACCGCAUACCAUCGGAUGUGCCCAGAUGGGAUUAGCUAGUAGGUGGGGUAAAGGCUCACCUAGGCGACGAUCCCUAGCUGGUCUGAGAGGAUGACCAGCAACACUGGAACUGAGACACGGUGCAGACUCCUACGGGAGGCAGCAGUGGGGAAUAUGGCACAAUGGGCGCAAGCCUGAUGCAGCCAUGCCGCGUGUAUGAAGAAGGUCUGCGGGUUGUAAAGUACUUUCAGCGGGGAGGCGGGAAACGAAGAAGAAGCACCGGCUAACUCCGUGCCAGCAGCCGCGGUAAUUA
rnacentral:rRNA from 1 species